AGUGGACAUUUGGGAAGGAUAUGAUGCAAAGCUACAGUGGUUGGAAGAAUGAUGGCCUCCCAAAGCCUUCUACGCCCUAAUCCCACAAGAGGGACAUUUCAUCUGCAAUUGAGAAAAAAAUACAAUGGAGCUGAUGAGAUCAGCCUUCCCCAUCCCACGUGGGCUUGCUCUAAUCACGGAGGCCUUUAAUGUUGAAGCGUCUCUCCCAGACAGGAGUGGUCAGUGGGAGAUGUGCUAUGGGAAAAGAUCAGAGAGAUGCAAUAUUGUACUGUGAAGAUAGAGGAAGGGAUCAUGAGCGAAGGAAUGCUGGGAGGCUCACGAGUUCUUCCGGAAAUCACAGAAAGAAAGGCAGCUCCAUCCAUGCUACAACUCAGUCCUGUGACUCCUGUGUCCGACACCUGGCCAAUAAGACACGAAGAUGAUGGAUUUGUGUUGUUUUAAACCUUCGGGAUUGUAGUACUGUCUCUGGAAGCCUUAGACACUGGACUUGGGAAUCUCAUUGACCUCAAACCUUGCCCCCUCCUGCUGAACUAUUAUUUCCUAUGGAGUAAUCCAGGGGAAGAAGAUUCAUGGACUUCAAUUGUGGAACCACUGUGGAUGCCAUCUGGCUACAAUGCAUAGUGCCAACAAUAGCCCUGGUUAAACUAAGCGGUCACAGACCAAAACCUGAACUUGUGAAUAUGGUGAACUAACAGACAGGUGAGAGGAUGGUGGACAGAAGUGAGCAGGAGUCCGGAGAGGCGGAAAUAACUAGAAU
rnacentral:lncRNA from 1 species